rnacentral:rRNA from 1 species
CCAGACUCCUACGGGAGGCAGCAGUGGGGAAUAUUGCACAAUGGGGGCAACCCUGAUGCAGCCAUGCCGCGUGUGUGAAGAAGGCCUUCGGGUUGUAAAGCACUUUCAGCGGGGAGGAAGGGGACAGGGUUAAUAACCUUGUUCAUUGACGUUACCCGCAGAAGAAGCACCGGCUAACUCCGUGCCAGCAGCCGCGGUAAUACGGAGGGUGCAAGCGUUAAUCGGAAUGACUGGGCGUAAAGCGCACGCAGGCGGUCUGUUAAGUUGGAUGUGAAAUCCCCGGGCUUAACCUGGGAACUGCAUUCAAAACUGACAGGCUAGAGUCUCGUAGAGGGGGGUAGAAUUCCAGGUGUAGCGGUGAAAUGCGUAGAGAUCUGGAGGAAUAC